rnacentral:tRNA from 1 species
ACGAAUGUGGCGAAAGGGUAGACGCGAAGCCUUCAAAAGGCUUUAGUUAUGUAACUGUGCGGGUUCAAGUCCCGCCAUUCGU